UACGUAGGAGACGAGCGUUGUCCGGAAUCACUGGGCGUAAAGGGCGCGUAGGCGGCUCAUGAAGGCUGUGGUGAAAGUCCGGGGCUCAACCUCGGAUCGGCCGUGGCGACUCGUGGGCUGGAGCACUGUAGAGGCGGGUGGAAUUCCGGGUGUAGCGGUGGAAUGCGUAGAGAUCCGGAAGAACACCGGUGGCGAAGGCGGCCUUCUGGACAGUGACUGACGCUGAGACGCGAAAGCGUGGGGAGCAAACAGG
rnacentral:rRNA from 1 species